rnacentral:lncRNA from 1 species
UUUCUGGAGUUUGUAAAACUAAAGACAAAUUUUCUUGGAAGAAUAUAGAUACAUUACAAUUUACGAAAAUAGCAAAUUACCACUUACACUGAGCAACCCCACAGUGAUGCUUCAGAUUUAGGUUUCAUAUGUUUGUCACUAUUGUUUCAUAUUUAUCAACUUCAAAUACAGAUUAAGCAGAAGGAAAUUCUUAACUUCAGGUUUUUCCUAAAGAAAAUCCCACAAAAGAGGUUUAAGGGUCACAAAAAAACGCAGUUUUCCGAGACAAUUGCAAGCAAUAACUAACUACUCAAAGAAGUAAAAAAAAAAAAAAAAAAAGAAAAGGGUUUCCAUGCAAACUUUUCAUUUACGAAAAUAGCAAAUUACCACUUACACUGAGCAACCCCACAGUGAUGCUUCAGAUUUAGGUUUCAUAUGUUUGUCACUAUUGUUUCAUAUUUAUCAACUUCAAAUACAGAUUAAGCAGAAGGAAAUUCUUAACUUCAGGUUUUUCCUAAAGAAAAUCCCACAAAAGAGGUUUAAGGGUCACAAAAAAACGCAGUUUUCCG